UGGGGAAUUUUGGACAAUGGGCGAAAGCCUGAUCCAGCAAUGCCGCGUGUGUGAAGAAGGCCUUCGGGUUGUAAAGCACUUUUGUCCGGAAAGAAAUCCUUGGCUCUAAUACAGUCGGGGGAUGACGGUACCGGAAGAAUAAGCACCGGCUAACUACGUGCCAGCAGCCGCGGUAAUACGUAGGGUGCAAGCGUUAAUCGGAAUUACUGGGCGUAAAGCGUGCGCAGGCGGUUUGCUAAGACCGAUGUGAAAUCCCCGGGCUCAACCUGGGAACUGCAUUGGUGACUGGCAGGCUAGAGUAUGGCAGAGGGGGGUAGAAUUCCACGUGUAGCAGUGAAAUGCGUAGAGAUGUGGAGGAAUACCGAUGGCGAAGGCAGCCCCUGGCCAAGUACUGACGCUCAUGCACGAAAAGCGUGGGGAGCAAACAGGAUUAGAUACCCUGGUAGUCCACGCCCUAAAACGAUGUCAACUAGUUGUUGGGGAUUCAUUUCCUUAGUAACGUAGCUAACGCGUGAAGUUGACCGCCUGGGGAGUACGGUCGCAAGAUUAAAACUCAAAUGAAUUGACGGGGUCAUAGCUGUUUCCU
rnacentral:rRNA from 1 species